GCUUGUCUCAAAGAUUAAGCCAUGCAUGUCUUAGUGUAAAUAACUCUUAUGAAACUGCGAAUGGCUCAUUAAAUCAGUUAUCAAAUACGUGAUGGUCGCCUACUACAUGGAUAACCGUAGUAAUUCUAGAGCUAAUACAUGCAUCAUCCCCCAUCUCGGGGUGUAUUUAUUAGAUGGAAACCAAUGCGGGGCAACCCGGAAUAUGGUGAAUCAUAAUAACUGUCGUAUCGAGCAAUCGAAGCGCCAUACAAGUUUCUGCCCUAUCAGCUUUGGAUGGUAGGGUAUUGGCCUACCAUGGCUUUAACGGGUAACGGAGAAUUAGGGUUCGAUUCCGGAGAGGGAGCCUGAGAAACGGCUACCACAUCCAAGGAAGGCAGCAGG
rnacentral:rRNA from 1 species